GAAGCAUCGUUUUUCCUUUGAUGGAAACAGUUGCUUUGGCGCGCUCCGUUUUUAAAGCACGGCCGGCAGCAGCAACUGCAACUUUUUUUAAGCAUCCGUGACGUUCUUCUAGUUGCUCCUUUAUUUCUGUUAUUAUUUUUGAAACGGCCAGAAUAUCAUGUAUUUGGCCAUCCAGCAUGGAACG
rnacentral:antisense_RNA from 1 species